AGCAGUCGCCGCGGUAAUACGUAGGGUGCGAGCGUUAAUCGGAAUUACUGGGCGUAAAGCGUGCGCAGGCGGUUGUGUAAGACAGGUGUGAAAUCCCCGGGCUUAACCUGGGAACUGCGCUUGUGACUGCACAGCUAGUGUAUGGCAGAGGGGGGUGGAAUUCCACGUGUAGCAGUGAAAUGCGUAGAGAUGUGGAGGAACACCGAUGGCGAAGGCAGCCCCCUGGGCCAAUACUGACGCUCAUGCACGAAAGCGUGGGGAGCAAACAGGAUUAGAUACCCCCGUAGUCCCUGUCUCUUAUAC
rnacentral:rRNA from 1 species